rnacentral:rRNA from 1 species
UGACGAGGAGCUUGCUCCUCUGAUCAGUGGCGAACGGGUGAGUAGCACGUGAGCAACCUGCCCCAGACUCUGGGAUAACAGUUGGAAACAGCUGCUAAUACCGGAUACGAGACGGAGAGGCAUCUCCACCGUCUGGAAAGUUUUUCGGUCUGGGAUGGACUCGCGGCCUAUCAGCUAGUUGGUGAGGUAAUGGCUCACCAAGGCGACGACGGGUAGCCGGCCUGAGAGGGCGACCGGCCACACUGGGACUGAGACACGGCCCAGACUCCUACGGGAGGCAGCAGUGGGGAAUAUUGCACAAUGGGCGAAAGCCUGAUGCAGCGACGCCGCGUGAGGGAUGACGGCCUUCGGGUUGUAAACCUCUUUCAGCAGGGAAGAAGCGAAAGUGACGGUACCUGCAGAAGAAGCACCGGCUAACUACGUGCCAGCAGCCGCGGUAAUACGUAGGGUGCGAGCGUUGUCCGGAAUUAUUGGGCGUAAAGAGCUUGUAGGCGGUUUGUCGCGUCUGCAGUGAAAAUCCGAGGCUCAACCUCGGACUUGCUGUGGGUACGGGCAGACUAGAGUAUGGUAGGGGAGACCGGAAUUCCUGGUGCGAGCGGUGGAAUGCGCAGAUAUCAGGAGGAACACCGAUGGCGAAGGCAGGUCUCUGGGCCAUAACUGACGCUGAGAAGCGAAAGCAUGGGGAGCGAACAGGAUUAGAUACCCUGGUAGUCCAUGCCGUAAACGUUGGGCGCUAGGUG